rnacentral:sRNA from 1 species
UAACAUGAUUGAUGGCACAUUAUUCUAGUCAAUCACUUUAUUAUGAAGACGGGAUUAAACAACCGUUAAAGAGCAUAUCUGUGAAACCUUUGGUGUUUGCUUCUUACGCCCAGUUUGGGGUGGAUGCUGAGGGGUUAGGGUAUAGGGCGCUCGUAAUGGCAUACGACAAACGACCCUAUAUUUGUGGAGACCUAAGCUUGUAGUGAGCCUAAACGUGAAUAACUGAUGGACUUGUUACGACUUGGGCUAGGAACCUGUAUUGUGGCGAAAGUUAUGUGCAGUGUAGCUUGUCUUGAGUGAUGGUAUCGGGAUAAAUGAUCUUGCUUAUACAGUUGGCCGACUAUAUAAGUAUUGCAUUUUGAAAUUAUCAUUGCAAAAAAGAAUUAAUAAUAAAGCUUGGUGAGGAAAUCUCCUAGAGUGCUAUUGACAUAGGAUUGCAGUGGGUACUAAGUGGUAAUCAAGUCAUAUGUUUAGGUAACAACAUAUUGAUUCUUUUAAAGGGGAACCGCAUUUCUGGUAACGGAUUUGUAAGAAUCAGGGAAACCCUACUUGACCUAAGGCUCAAAGUUUACUAUGUUGAUCGCCAUUAAUUAAAAA